rnacentral:rRNA from 1 species
UACGUAGGUGGCAAGCGUUGUCCGGAUUUACUGGGCGUAAAGAGCGCGCAGGCGGUCGUUCAAGUCGCGUGUGAAAUCCUCCGGCUCAACCGGAGAACUGCCAUGGAUACUGGGUGCCUCGAGGGUGGUAGGGGUAUGCGGAACUAUCGGUGGAGCGGUGAAAUGCGUUGAUAUCGAUAGGAACUCCGGUGGCGAAGGCGGCAUCCUGGACCGGUAUUGACGCGUGAGGCGACGGAAAGCCCAGGGGAGCAAACGGG